AGUGAACGCUGGCGGUAGGCCUAACACAUGCAAGUCGAACGGCAGCACAGUAAGAGCUUGCUCUUACGGGUGGCGAGUGGCGGGCGGGUGAGGAAUACAUCGGAAUCUACUUUUUCGUGGGGGAUAACGUAGGGAAACUUACGCUAAUACCGCAUACGACCUACGGGUGAAAGCAGGGGAUCUUCGGACCUUGCGCGAUUGAAUGAGCCGAUGUCGGAUUAGCUAGUUGGCGGGGUAAAGGCCCACCAAGGCGACGAUCCGUAGCUGGUCUGAGAGGAUGAGCAGCCACACUGGAAGUGAGACACGGUCCAGAGUCCUAGGGGAGGGAGCAGUGGGGAAUAUUGGGCAAUGGGCGCAAGCCUGAUCCAGCCAUACCGCGUGGGUGAAGAAGGCCUUCGGGUUGUAAAGCCCUGUUGUUGGGAAAGAAAAGCAGCAGGUUAAUACCCCGCUGUUCUGACGGUACCCAAAGAAUAAGCACCGGCUAACUUCGUG
rnacentral:rRNA from 1 species